AGCUCGAUAGCGCAACGGUAGCGCGUCUGUCCCCAAUGCUUGAGUCAAGGGCUUAAUGAUUGGCAGGAAGAUCUCGGUUCGAAUCCGGGGCGAGCUA
rfam:Stereum hirsutum FP-91666 SS1 unplaced genomic scaffold STEHIscaffold_24, whole genome shotgun sequence.